rnacentral:rRNA from 1 species
AGUCAUAUGGAUUGUGUCAGCACGCGCGGUAAUACGAAGGUCCAAGCGUUGUUCGGAAUCACUGGGCGUAAAGGGAGCGUAGGCUGUGCGGUAAGUCAGAUGUGAAAUCCCGGGGCUCAACCCCGGAACUGCAUCCGAUACUGCCAUACUAGAGGAUUGGAGAGGUAGCUGGAAUUCACGGUGUAGCAGUGAAAUGCGUAGAUAUCGUGAGGAACACCAAUGGCGAAAGCAAGCUACUGGACAACUCCUGACGCUGAGGCUCGAAGGCCAGGGUAGCGAAAGGGAUUAGAUACCCCUGUAGUCCUGGCAGUAAACGGUGCGCGCUUGGUGUGAGAGGAUUCGACCCCUCUUGUGCCGGAGCUAACGCGUUAAGCGCGCCGCCUGGGAAGUACGGUCGCAAGACUAAAACUCAAAGAAAUUGACGGGGACCCGCACAAGCGGUGGAGUAUGUGGCUUAAUUCGAUGCAACGCGAAGAACCUUACCAAGGCUUGACAUGCAUCUCUAAUCGCGUGAAAGCGCGUGACCCUUCGGGGGAUUUGCACAGGUGCUGCAUGGCCGUCGUCAGCUCGUGUCGUGAGAUGUUGGGUUAAGUCCCGCAACGAGCGCAACCCCUGUGAUCAGUUGCCAGCACAUAAUGGUGGGAACUCUGGUCAGACUGCCCAGAUCAACUGGGAGGAAGGUGGGGACGACGUCAGGUCAGUAUGGCCCUUACGCCUUGGGCUGCAGACGUACUACAAUGCCCAGUACAAUGAGAACCGAUACCGCGAGGUGGAGGAAAUCUACAAAACUGGGCCCAGUUCGGAUUGGAGGCUGCAACUCGCCUCCAUGAAGUCGGAAUCGCUAGUAAUGGCACAUCAGCUACGGUGCCGUGAAUACGUUCCCGGGUCUUGCACACACCGCCCGUCA